rnacentral:rRNA from 1 species
AAUGAACGCUGGCGGCGUGCUUAACACAUGCAAGUUGAGCGAGAACGUUUCUUCGGAAACUAGUACAGCGGCAAACGGGUGAGUAACGCGUGAGAACCUGCCCUUUAGUGAAGAAUACCCUCGAGAAAUCGAGAUUAAUACUGCAUGAGUCCCUGCGGGGAGAAAGGUGGCUUUAUGCUACCGCUAAAGGAGGGGCUUGCGUACUAUCAGCUAGUUGGUAGGGUAAUUGCCUACCAAGGCUAUGACGGUUAGCCGGCCUGAGAGGGUGUACGGCCACAUUGGAACUGAGACACGGUCCAGACUCCUACGGGAGGCAGCAGUGAGGAAUAUUGCGCAAUGGGCGAAAGCCUGACGCAGCGACGCCGCGUGGAGGAUGAAGGUUUUCGGAUUGUAAACUCCUGUUAAGCGGGAAGAAAGUCUUAUUUUUAAUAAAAGUAAGAUAUGACGGUACCGCUAGAGAAAGCACCGGCUAACUUCGUGCCAGCAGCCGCCGCGGUAAC